rnacentral:lncRNA from 1 species
CUUUAUCUGUCAAAAUCAUGAAACCACUUCAUCUUCCUACUCAUUUCUUUCAAAAAGACAUAGUAAUCCACUUUCACGGAUUCUUCUCCAUGGAGAAUCAAACAACCCCCCUCCACAUCAAGCAGAUACAUUAAUCAGAAACGGCGCAAAAAAACUUCAAUUACCAAAGGUUAGUUCUUUCAUCAUCAUUACUAUCUCUUAAAAUAAUUUUUAUGUAUUUUUUAUUUGCAAGCAAAUAACUAUUCCACAGGCUCUAUAACUUCUUAGACAAAGUGGAUUCAACUGCUUUUCUUUUUCAAGCACAAUAAAACUUCAAACUAAGUUCAGUUUGCAAUUUGACAUGGAAGAUCAGAAAAAAAUUGUAAGAAAAAUAAAAUAGAUUUACGGAAAGUCUUAACUACUUUUUUCUUUUCAUCCGAUAACAAUGGUAUGAACUUUUGCCCUCUUUUUUCUUUGUUUGGUUUACAUUAAAUUUUUCUUCUGUAGUACUUUUUAGAUAUGUUCUAUAUUGCCAGGUUAUGACAGAAAUUAUGAACCACAAAAAUUUAUGUCUAACAUUUUCCCAAGCAGAAGGAGGUAGACCGAAACUCUUACCAUGUAGGCAUAUAAGUGCUUUGUAACUGUUGGAUAUUGGGUUUGGGUCACGGGUCGCCCAUAUGGACUAACCAUACCGAUUUAGAGGAGAUAAAACCUAAAAGAGGUUACCCAGGGAGUUAAAUAUAGAUAAAUAAAAAAACUGUUGCACGUUAAAAACAUAAUGGGAACGUGCAAUUGUAAGAGCAGCAGUUUUUCCUUUCUUGAAAUCUAUCUCUCUCCUAUAUAUAUCUUCCUUCCUCAACAGAGAAAGAUACGACGAAAUGAUUCUCCCUAAAAGAAAAGAAACACAGUGUGAUAAACAAAGACAAGGUAUUUAGUUCGUGAACAAGGAUUUCAUUUACAAGAGAGACGAAAUUGGAUUCGGGCAAAUGAACAGAUUCUGCAAAAUCUUCCUUUGUUGUUAACAGGUACGCAAAUUCGAGGUUUCUGUUACUCGAUUUUAAUUAUCAGUAACUAUAGCAAUACUUAAGUGCUUUGUAACUAUAGCAAUAUUUACAAAGGAAAAGAACUUUGUAAUAGAAAGAUUUUAACUUGAAUUGUGUUUUAGUCCCUAACAAGAACAACCGAAACUUGAUUAAGAAAAAAUAUAGUUUCUCUUAAUUGUAUUCACGUUCAAGCUCAUUUUUUAAGAAUGCGUAAUCAAUAUUUUUUAUUUUACGGAGAAUGUUUGUCUCACAAUUGGUAGAGGGAAUGGUCUCGAAAAGGAUAAAACAGUUCCUCCUUUGUCUGAUAUAAUAAGUUAUAAAUGGUCAGUUUCAAAUUACAUAUAAGGUUGUUAAUCAUUAAUUCAAGUUUGCGUUAUAACAUGAUUCCCUUAAUUUUGUGAUAAUCAUGAACAGUUGUCAAGUCCAGAAUAAGUUAUUGUUUCUUCAUCACAAGUCUUCGCCUUCUUUACCCGAGAGUCUAUCGGAAACAAUCUCUCUGCGCCUUCUAGGAUAGGGGUGAGACCGCGUACAUCCUACCCUAUCCAGACCCCACUUGUGGGAUUAUAUUGGGUGGUAGUUGUUGUUGUUGUUCAUCACAAGUCACAACCACUUGCAUAUAAACCAAAGUCCCUUCCCCUACGAUAUUUACGAAAUAGUUUGCCUAUUUCUUAAUUUCUAUCUAAUUAUUAUCUAUAAUUAUUUGGAAGAGCUAGAAUCUUAAGUUAAAUGAAAAUCUUAAUUUCUUUAUCGCAUACUUUGCAAGUUGUUCAUCUUUAAAUACAAAACACGGCAAGGGUAAAGGCCAGUUGGUUCACGAGAACACGGUUUCAACUCAUUAUGCAAUAUAAAACAUUAAGUCUUAAAAUUGCUACUUCAAAAGACCAUUUAAGUUGUUUUGAUAAGUGCUCAAAUCUUUUGAAUAAUUUAAAAUAGAUUAACAUAAAUUUGUAAAAUAUAAUUUAAUGUAGUUGGAAUCCAAUAGAAUUCUUAGUGAUUGCCUUUGAUUAAGACAUUAUUUUGGUAGAAUAAUCUUCAGAUUAAGAUUCAAACUUGUGAUUUAAUUUUUUCUACACUAAUGGGAGGAAAAGUUGAUGUUUAUGUCAACCAACGAAGGGACCGAGAACAUUCAGAGUGUCUAAGCAGAAUUAUCAUCAACUCGAAAACUUAUUACAAUUAGAUGGAUCUACUCCAAAAUUUUCACAAUUGUACAUUUAUGAUACAAAAAUGACAUGAAAAAUAGAAUUCAUACUAUCAGGUUAGUAAAAUCCAGUGCUAAUUUUUUGUAUGGAUAAAGGCUUAAGAAGCCAUUCUGACCUUCUUUUCUUGAAUUCCCUUAACUGUGAGGAUGCCUAUCCUAUUGGGUGUAGCACAAAAGAGCCUCAACUAUUUUCUAUGAAUUUUUCUAUUAAAUGUAUUUAUUAUAUUGUUAUUUUUUUAUCAGAUGUCAAUUUGUGUCACAAGCGAUCCUUUUCAACAUUAUAUCCAAAUACAUGUCCAUCCUUAUUAAAUUCAAAUACAUAUUCCUUAAUCCUCUAGACUCUUGGUGAAAAUCAGUUAUUUGCGAUUCAGCAUAUGCUUUAAGUAUGUGCCAUUGACAUUUCUUUCUGAAACUUGUGCUUUUAAGGGACAUAAAAUGCUUAUUCAAAAUGCAAGUUUAUUUUCAUGCAUCAAAUUCACUCUCACAAGCUUAUACGGUAGAAUCACUUGGUUGACAUUCCCAAAAUGAUAAGUUUGUCAAAUCCUGAUCUUUAAAGAAACAACAACCAAUUAUUACAGCUAUUGGUAUAUAGUAGAAACCCAAAACAUGAGGUAGGUGUAAAGUUCCAAAAAGUAUGCAAAAACUUUGGGGCGAGACAAAAAUUAGCAAAUUAUGUAGUACAAUUUGAGCACAGUUGGUGUGUAUUUGGAUUUACUUUCUGUAAAAUUAAAAUUGUAUUGAUUUCAAUUUUUUCUUAUACCUUUUUAAAUUUUUUACAGGUGAAAACUAUUACAUUUGCAUAACUCAACACAUUUUUAUUUUAUUUAUUUUUUCAUCUUGACAAGCACAAAACAGAAUACCGCGUUGGUCAAGAGCAAGAAAUAGAGAUGCCAAGGUAAAUUUGAUUGACAUCAAGUCUAUAAGUUAUUCUUAAAAUUUUCAAUAGUCUACAGGUCACUAACAUUUUUAUUUCUUCGCGCAAGUGGGCAAAAACUUAUCUAAGAAUGUAAAGCCCCAAAAAUUUGCUUUACUGCAUUAGUUUGAAGCUUUAAGUAAAUGUUAUUUAUGCUAUAUCGUGAUUUUCUCUUUGUUUGAAACAUACAAUAUGUGUGGAU